UGGGGAAUAUUGGACAAUGGGCGAAAGCCUGAUCCAGCCAUGCCGCGUGAGUGAUGAAGGCCUUAGGGUUGUAAAGCUCUUUCAGUGGGGAAGAUAAUGACGGUACCCACAGAAGAAGCCCCGGCUAACUUCGUGCCAGCAGCCGCGGUAAUACGAAGGGGGCUAGCGUUGUUCGGAUUUACUGGGCGUAAAGCGCACGUAGGCGGAUUGUUAAGUCAGGGGUGAAAUCCUGGAGCUCAACUCCAGAACUGCCUUUGAUACUGGCAAUCUUGAGUCCGGAAGAGGUGAGUGGAACUCCUAGUGUAGAGGUGGAAUUCGUAGAUAUUAGGAAGAACACCAGUGGCGAAGGCGGCUCACUGGUCCGGUACUGACGCUGAGGUGCGAAAGCGUGGGGAGCAAACA
rnacentral:rRNA from 1 species